rnacentral:lncRNA from 1 species
AAAAUCAGAUGGUUGCAAGGCCCUAUGGAAUAACCAGCACUUUUGUACCCUUUCUCUUAGCCUGGGUAAAGUUUGAAUCCUGGAACUGGGCUUUGUGGAAUAGCACAGUGGACAUUUUCAGGCCUGCUGUGUUGCCUCUUGUACUACGGAGAGGAGAGUUUCAUUGAAUUUUUUGAGUUCACAAGAUUCAUCAAUUUUGAAAUUGUUCUGCACGUGUAUCCUGAUUCCCAUGGAUGAUUUUCAUCCUCUGCAUUUACUUCAUCGAAAAACAAACAGCUUGGAAAUUACACAUGUGUUUCAAGAAAAGCCCUGAUUUUGCUGCUUCAUGACUAGGACCAUUCAGGAUAUGAAAUAGGAGGCAUGAAAACAGCUAGAGUUUAAGAUAAGUAAAUGUAGAACUAAUAACAACAAAAAUGCAGCCACUAUCCUCAAAUAAGCAAAGGCUGAGAUGUAUUCCAGAGAAUACCUAUAAAAUAAUUGUUUAAGUUAAAUCCAAAGAAAUUCACUUGCUGAAUUGGAAUGCUGAAUUAAAGACAUCUUAAAAGAGAAAAUUUAAGGUUCUAAGACUUUGCUUGCUCUUUUUAUCAAUACUGGUUAAAAUGCUGCAAGUCUCGUUUUCAUUACAUUAGAUUUCC